CCUACGGGGGGCAGCAGUGGGGAAUAUUGCACAAUGGGGGAAACCCUGAUGCAGCGACGCCGCGUGAAGGAAGACGGUUUUCGGAUUGUAAAGUUCUGUUCUUAGUGAAGAAUAUUUACGUUAGCUAAUGAGCAAGCCCCGGCUAACUACUGGCCAGCAGCCGCGGUAAUACGUAGGUGGCAAGCGUUGUCCGUAUUUACUGGGUGUAAAGGAAGCGCAGGCGGGAAGACAAGUCAGGUGUGAAAACUACGGGCUUAACUCGUAGACUGCUGUGGAAACUGGCUGUCUGGAGUGAAGUAGAGGUAAGCGGAAUUCCGAGUGUAGCGGUGAAAUGCGUAGAUAUUCGGAGGAACACCGGUGGCGAAGGCGGCUAACUGGGCUUUAACUGACGCUGAGGCUCGAAAGCGUGGGGAGCAAACAGGAUUAGAUACCCGGGUAGUC
rnacentral:rRNA from 1 species